UCUCCGUCUCUUACCUCCGGGUCACCACCUCACUCCAAGAAAUGUUCCAAGGUAAUCUUUUUGGUUGUAGCGCUGUAAAUUUUGUUUCCUUUUUCUAGAUUGUGUGGUUUCCUUUUUUGUUUUUCGGAACGUAGGCAGCCGAGGGGGCAGCGUCAUCAACGGGAGAUAUGCCGAUCGGAACUCCUUGGUCCGGGGAAGCAAUACGGGAAAUUCUCGAAAGAUAGUUCUAUAUUGUCCGGACCUAGAAUUCCUUCUCGCAAACUAUCUUGGAAAUGCCGGUGCUUAAAUAAAAAUCAGAAGAGGUAAAACCUGAUAUCGUAGGUCUAGAAUUCAUAAAAGAAACAUGAUAUUCAUAAAAGAUAAAAGAUGAUGAGAUUAAAUCAAAGUAUUUAAUCUCGAAGCUGCCUGUGCUGGCAAGAACACCGCCGUUGACGCCUCUUCCUCUGAGAAAAUCCCUGAUGUCGAAGGCGAGGACUGGUGUCCACGUGCGCUGAACGUUCCAUCGUUCUUCCAUGGUUCUUGAUUUGGGUUUCUGUGAAAAAAUUUUGUUUAUCGUUCUUCUUUACUUGCAUUUGAUCAAAGGCAUAGGUGACGAGGAUGCAGAGAAAUCAAAGGCCGUAGCUAUGGUGUUCUACGGUCGGGGUUGAAGAAGAAGUCGAGGAGACCCGCGAAAUUGAGUACGAAGGUUGCAUGGGAAAAUAACUCUCCCAGGUGGGUCUUUCUCUGGAUUGGUUAUUUUCUUGGUGUGGUCUUGAUCUGGCGACGUCUAGAAAUUCAGUCGGGUUCUGAGAAGCUCUAACCAGAAUUUAUAAAAAAAAAAAAGUUCUUUUCUUUUUUAAUCGAGCAGGAGAUUAGGGUUUACCAAGGAUAUUAUCAGCUACUAGUAAGAUUUUGAUAUGUAAAACAGAGAUGGUUGUGAUGGUGCUAUCUGUUCUCUUUUCAAAUGCAGCGGGAAGGCGAUGAGAUGGCUUUCAGCUCUUCUGGAAAACAUGCUUAUAUAUCCUUUGGCUAAUGAAUUUAUCAUCGUUCUCUUAUGUUCACAAAAAAGUUUCUUCAUCCCAUAUUUUUAACCAUUUUAUCGCUGUUUUUCUACUACCGUGUCGCUCACUAUUCUCUGCUGUUUUUCUCUGUGAGGAAAAUGUCUUGACUUGCAAAGAACUGAAGGAAGAAGACGAAGUAUUGCAGAAACAGAAGAAAAAGAGGAAGUAAAUAGCUGAAGGGCC
rnacentral:lncRNA from 1 species